CCUACGGGUGGCAGCAGUGAGGAAUAUUGGUCAAUGGACGAGAGUCUGAACCAGCCAAGUAGCGUGAAGGAUGACUGCCCUAUGGGUUGUAAACUUCUUUUAUAUGGGAAUAAAAUGCUCCACGUGUGGGAUCUUGUAUGUACCAUAUGAAUAAGGAUCGGCUAAUUCCGUGCCAGCAGCCGCGGUAAUACGGAGGAUCCGAGCGUUAUCCGGAUUUAUUGGGUUUAAAGGGAGCGUAGGUGGAUUGUUAAGUCAGUUGUGAAAGUUUGCGGCUCAACCGUAGAAUUGCAGUUGAAACUGGGAGUCUUGAGUACAGUAGAGGUGGGCGGAAGUCGUGGUGUAGCGGUGAAAUGCUUAGAUAUCACGAAGAACUCCGAUUGCGAAGGCAGUUCACUGGACUGCAACUGACACUGAGGCUCGAAAGUGUGGGUAUCAAACAGGAUUAGAUACCCUAGUAGUC
rnacentral:rRNA from 1 species